rnacentral:rRNA from 1 species
CUCUAAUGGGACUGCCGGUGACAAACCGGAGGAAGGUGGGGAUGACGUCAAGUCCUCAUGGCCCUUAUGACCAGGGCUUCACACGUCAUACAAUGGUCGGUACAGAGGGUCGCGAAGCCGCGAGGUGGAGCCAAUCUCAUAAAACCGAUCGUAGUCCGGAUCGCACUCUGCAACUCGAGUGCGUGAAGUCGGAAUCGCUAGUAAUCGCAGAUCAGCAUGCUGCGGUGAAUACGUU